GACGGAGGGUGCUAGCGUUGUUCGGAAUCACUGGGCGUAAGGGCGCGUAGGCGGCCUUGCAAGUCGGUUGGUGAAAGCCCGGGGCUCAACCCCGGAGGUGCGGCCGAGACUGCAGGGCUGGAGGCCGGAAGAGGAGGGUGGAAUACCCAGUGUAGAGGUGAAAUUCGUAGAUAUUGGGUGGAACACCGGUGGCGAAAGCGGCUCUCUGGUCCGGACCUGACGCUGAGGCGCGAAAGCGUGGGGAGCAAACAGG
rnacentral:rRNA from 1 species